CUUGAUAAACCAUGAGAGGUCCAGCCUGCCCAGUGACAUAGUUAAACGGCCGCGGUAUUCUGACCGUGCGAAGGUAGCAUAAUCACUUGUUCUUUAAAUGAGGACUAGUAUCAACGGCAUCACGAGGGUUAUACUGUCUCCUCUUUCCAAUCAGUGAAACUGAUUUCCCCGUGAAGAAGCGGGGAUAAGUCUAUAAGACGAGAAGACCCCAUGGAGCUUUAAACUCGACAACAACUUCCCACACAAAUUCUUCAUAUUAUGGAAACUCUGUUUGUUAGUUUUAGGUUGGGGUGACCGCGGAGCAAAACUAAACCUCCACGAUGAAAGGAAUAACUCCUAAUCUAAGAGCCACCGCUCUAAGAAUCAAUAGCUUGACAUAAAAUGAUCCGAUAGUCGAUCAACGGACCA
rnacentral:rRNA from 1 species